GAUGAACGCUGGCGGCGUGCCUAAUACAUGCGAGUCGAGCGAACAGACGAGGAGCUUGCUCCUCUGACGUUAGCGGCGGACGGGUGAGUAACACGUGGAUAACCUACCUAUAAGACUGGGAUAACUUCGGGAAACCGGAGCUAAUACCGGAUAAUAUAUUGAACCGCAUGGUUCAAUAGUGAAAGACGGUUUUGCUGUCACUUAUAGAUGGAUCCGCGCCGCAUUAGCUAGUUGGUAAGGUAACGGCUUACCAAGGCAACGAUGCGUAGCCGACCUGAGAGGGUGAUCGGCCACACUGGAACUGAGACACGGUCCAGACUCCUACGGGAGGCAGCAGUAGGGAAUCUUCCGCAAUGGGCGAAAGCCUGACGGAGCAACGCCGCGUGAGUGAUGAAGGUCUUCGGAUCGUAAAACUCUGUUAUUAGGGAAGAACAAAUGUGUAAGUAACUAUGCACGUCUUGACGGUACCUAAUCAGAAGGCCACGGCUAACUACGU
rnacentral:rRNA from 1 species